UACGGGGGGGGCAAGCGUUGUUCGGAAUUACUGGGCGUAAAGGGCUCGUAGGCGGCCAACUAAGUCAGACGUGAAAUCCCUCGGCUUAACCGGGGAACUGCAUCUGAUACUGGAUGGCUUGAAUCCGGGAGAGGGAUGUGGAAUUCCAGGUGUAGCGGUGAAAUGCGUAGAUAUCUGGAGGAACACCGGUGGCGAAGGCGGCAUCCUGGACCGGUAUUGACGCUGAGGCGCGAAAGCCAGGGGAGCAAACGGG
rnacentral:rRNA from 1 species